AACGUAGGAGACAAACGUUAUCCGGAGUUACUGGGCGUAAAGGGCGUGCAGGUGGUCUGUUAAGUCUGGCGUGAAAGCUCCUGGCUAAACCGGGAGAGGUCGUUGGAUACUGGCGGACUAGAGGACGGUAGAGGCGUGUGGAAUUCCGGGUGUAGUGGUGAAAUGCGUAGAGAUCCGGAGGAACACCAGUGGCGAAGGCGACACGCUGGGCCGUACCUGACACUGACACGCGACAGCAUGGGGAGCGAACGGG
rnacentral:rRNA from 1 species